AUUGAACGCUGGCGGCAGGCCUAAUACAUGCAAGUCGAACGAGUGGCGGACGGGCGAGUAAUGUAUGGGAAACUGCCUGACGGAGGGGGAUAACUACUGGAAACGGUAGCUAAUACCGCUAACCACCAGUUGUGCUCAGAGGGGUUUAGCUUGUGGGUGGUGUAACGGUUGACAAAGGGGAAGAUCCCUAGCUGGUCUGAGAGGAGGACCAGCCAGACUGGAACGGAGGAACGGUCCAGACUCCUACGGGAGACAGCAGUGGGGAAUAUUGCACAAUGGGGGCAAGCCUGAUGCAGCCAUGCCGCGUGUAUGAAGAAGGACUUCGGGUUGUAAAGUACUUUCAGCGGGAAGGCGUUACCCGCAGAAGAAGCACCGGCUAACUCCGUGCCAGCAGCCGCGGUAAUUC
rnacentral:rRNA from 1 species